UACGUAGGUCCCGAGCGUUGUCCGGAUUUAUUGGGCGUAAAGCGAGCGCAGGUGGUUUAUUAAGUCUGGUGUAAAAGGCAGUGGCUCAACCAUUGUAUGCAUUGGAAACUGGUAGACUUGAGUGCAGGAGAGGAGAGUGGAAUUCCAUGUGUAGCGGUGGAAUGCGUAGAUAUAUGGAGGAACACCGGUGGCGAAAGCGGCUCUCUGGCCUGUAACUGACGCUGAGGCUCGAAAGCGUGGGGAGCAAACAGG
rnacentral:rRNA from 1 species